CCUCCACUCACCCAGGUGACCCUUCUCCAUCAGCGGCUCCACGUUGUAGAUCCUCACCCCGGUCUCCAUCGCACAGCAGAAGCAGCCUGAAGACAGAGAGACACAGUGAGCUUGUUUCUCUGGCGGUGUUACAGAGGUCAUCAUCAUCAUCAUCAUCGCCUCUCUUCCUGGACGUGACGCUCAUCUCGCUUUAAUCUCGUUCAUCUCUUCCAAGUGAGAUCGAUGUCACGGGAACAGCGGGUCGAUGUCACGUUCCCCUGGGGAGAGAGAUUCAUGCGGGACGAGGAGGCGCUGCUCGAAAGGCGAAGCUGCUGAGCCUGGUUACAUUGCCCGCUCAUCCAGCUCCGGUUCUGGCACAACACCGUCCUCCUGUCAGCAUUCCCCUAAAAACAUCCUGUUUGUGGUGCUGCCCUGGUGCUCUGAGCCAAUGACAGACUAAAGAAUGGACGGCAUGUCCGUGAUGUCCCUCUUUAAGCCUUAAUAUAAUGUGAACAGCAGGAAGCAGAAGCUCACUUUUUUUUUCCUCCUUUGACACCAUCAGACAAAUGAUUCACUCACCAGGAAGAUCGGCGCCUUUUCUUUUUUUUAAUAUGACUCCAUUAAGAGCGCCGCCCACACCGGUUCCUGGAGGACUCCUACAUUGGAGAAGCUCCACGGGGGGAAAAAAAGAGAAAAACACAGCGGUGUAUAAAAGAUGGCAGUGAACGGCAAUGACAACCAGUCAAGUUGAAAAAGUGCCAAACAUCCAGAAAGAAACCUCCAGAGAAAUGUGUAAGCACGGCGCCUCCGACCCCCCGAAGAAAUGCAGCGUCAGCGGGAAGCGACCUCGCACGACUAACAACACGAACGCCGAGCGAGCAGCCGCUCGUGUUUUCCAGAAACUCAUCGUGCGUCGUGGCUGUUGUUCCCAAAUCUGUUUAACACCUGGAGGUCCAGUGAAUUCAUGGAUAUGUAGAAGAACGACGACGAGUGAACAUCAAACUCUGCUCCUCUUCUUGACAACACAAGACAUAGCAGCCUGAUAAUAUUACUUACGUCUGUCUUUCAGCCUUUUAUUUCACCAAGCUCCUGUUCUGGCACAACACCAGCUCAGCUCCCGGCCCCAGGCCUGUAAACCUCUGUGUGUGUGUGUGUUCCUCUGUGCUCAUCCUAUUAGUCUCUGCAGAGAUGUGGUCUGACAUUUAACCAUGUCACAACAGACCCCCCCGAGCGCAACAGCUAGCUACUUUCUAACAGGAUAACAUCCUUAUUUGUUUGAACUGCACAGAAUUGGAUUAUUGCGCACACACACACACACACACACACACACACACACACACAGACACACACACACACACACACACACACACUCUCUCCCUCUGGUUGGUGUUUUUCUUACAUCCCAGAUAAAACCAAAACAACCCCUGAGAGGAAAAUCCAUGUUACAGCAGCACAAAACACAAAC